rnacentral:rRNA from 1 species
UACGUAGGGUGCAAGCGUUGUCCGGAAUUAUUGGGCGUAAAGAGCUUGUAGGCGGUUUGUCGCGUCUGCUGUGAAAUUUCGGGGCUCAACCCCGAACUUGCAGUGGGUACGGGCAGACUAGAGUGUGGUAGGGGAGACUGGAAUUCCUGGUGUAGCGGUGAAAUGCGCAGAUAUCAGGAGGAACACCGAUGGCGAAGGCAGGUCUCUGGGCCAUAACUGACGCUGAGAAGCGAAAGCGUGGGGAGCAAACAGG